rnacentral:rRNA from 1 species
AUUGAACGCUGGCGGCAUGCUUUACACAUGCAAGUCGAACGGCAGCGCGGGGCAACCUGGCGGCGAGUGGCGCACGGGUGAGUAAUAUAUCGGAACGUACCCAGAAGUGGGGGAUAACGUAGCGAAAGUUACGCUAAUACCGCAUACGAUCUACGGAUGAAAGUGGGGGAUCGCAAGACCUCAUGCUUUUGGAGCGGCCGAUAUCUGAUUAGCUAGUUGGUAGGGUAAAGGCCUACCAAGGCGACGAUCAGUAGCUGGUCUGAGAGGACGACCAGCCACACUGGGACUGAGACACGGCCCAGACUCCUACGGGAGGCAGCAGUGGGGAAUUUUGGACAAUGGGCGCAAGCCUGAUCCAGCAAUGCCGCGUGAGUGAAGAAGGCCUUCGGGUUGUAAAGCUCUUUUGUCAGGGAAGAAACGGCCGAGGCUAAUACCUUUGGCUAAUGACGGUACCUGAAGAAUAAGCACCGGCUAACUACGUG